GGCGCAGGCUUAACACAUGCNAGUCGAGCGGGGNGAGGUAGCUUGCUACUGAUCUUAGCGGCGGACGGGUGAGUAAUGCUUAGGAAUCUGCCUAUUAGUGGGGGACAACAUUUCGAAAGGAAUGCUAAUACCGCAUACGUCCUACGGGAGAAAGCAGGGGAUCUUCGGACCUUGCGCUAAUAGAUGAGCCUAAGUCGGAUUAGCUAGUUGGUGGGGUAAAGGCCUACCAAGGCGACGAUCUGUAGCGGGUCUGAGAGGAUGAUCCGCCACACUGGGACUGAGACACGGCCCAGACUCCUACGGGAGGCAGCAGUGGGGAAUAUUGGACAAUGGGCGCAAGCCUGAUCCAGCCAUGCCGCGUGUGUGAAGAAGGCCUUAUGGUUGUAAAGCACUUUAAGCGAGGAGGAGGCUACUUUAGUUAAUACCUAGAGAUAGUGGACGUUACUCGCAGAAUAAGCACCGGCUAACUCUGUGCCAGCAGCCGCGGUAAUACAGAGGGUGCAAGCGUUAAUCGGAUUUACUGGGCGUAAAGCGCGCGUAGGCGGCUAAUUAAGUCAAAUGUGAAAUCCCCGAGCUUAACUUGGGAAUUGCAUUNNAUACUGGUUGGCUAGAGUAUGGGAGAGGAUGGUAGAAUUCCAGGUGUAGCGGUGAAAUGCGUAGAGAUCUGGAGGAAUACCGAUGGCGAAGGCAGCCAUCUGGCCUAACACUGACGCUGAGGUGCGAAAGCAUGGGGAGCAAACAGGAUUAGAUACCCUGGUAGUCCAUGCCGUAAACGAUGUCUACUAGCCGUUGGGGCCUUUGAGGCUUUAGUGGCGCACGUAACGCGAUAAGUAGACCGCCUGGGGAGUACGG
rnacentral:rRNA from 1 species